CAAAGUUAACAAAACAACAAGCCAAAAAACCAAGUUGUUCCUCUCUUUCACUCAACAAAAGUGGUAUCACCGAAACAACCGACUCGUUUCCUACCGCCCAUUGGAAACAAGAGGCCAUCAUCAUCUUCAUCUGAUGAUGUACCUUCAUUUCCAAAGCAUCCAGAGGUAGACGAUGCACCUUCUUCUCUGAAGCGUCCAAAGGGAGAUGACAAUGUGGAUACUUUGGAAAAAAAAUCGUUGCUGCCAUUGGAGAAUCCAAAGGAGUUAAGCUCAAUUAAUCAACCAGAAUUUAGAGCAUAUGGCGUGGCUGACCAAAAAGUUAAUAACACAGCUGACGAAAAUGUUGAGGCCAUGGCUGACGGAAAAGUUGAUGCUAUGGCUGACAGAAAAGGUGACGUUGCGGUGGACGGUGAAGUUGCCAUACCUGCCCCAAUAGGCAAGUGUUUUUUUGGUUUUUACUUCCUUUGUCCAUCCACUUUAGUCACACCUUACA